rnacentral:rRNA from 1 species
UACGAAGGGGGCUAGCGUUGCUCGGAAUCACUGGGCGUAAAGCGCACGUAGGCGGAUUGUUAAGUCAGGGGUGAAAUCCUGGAGCUCAACUCCAGAACUGCCUUUGAUGCUGGCGAUCUUGAGUCCGGGAGAGGUGAGUGGAACUGCGAGUGUAGAGGUGAAAUUCGUAGAUAUUCGCAAGAACACCAGUGGCGAAGGCGGCUUACUGGUCCGGUUCUGACGCUGAGGCGCGAAAGCGUGGGGAGCAAACAGG